CAACCUGCCCUUCAGAGGGGGACAACAGUUGGAAACGACUGCUAAUACCGCAUACGAUCCAAUCCCGGCAUCGGGACUGGAUGAAAGGUGGCCUCUAUUUAUAAGCUAUCGCUGGAGGAGGGGAUUGCGUCUGAUUAGCUAGUUGGAGGGGUAACGGCCCACCAAGGCAAUGAUCAGUAGCCGGUCUGAGAGGAUGAACGGCCACAUUGGGACUGAGACACGGCCCAG
rnacentral:rRNA from 1 species